rnacentral:rRNA from 1 species
GACGAACGCUGGCGGCGUGCCUAAUACAUGCAAGUCGAGCGGACGAUUCGAAAGCUUGCUUUUGUAUCGUUAGCGGCGGACGGGUGAGUAACACGUGGACAACCUGCCCUUUAGACGGGGAUAACACCGAGAAAUCGGUGCUAAUACCGGAUAACACGAAAUGUCGCAUGGCGCAUCGGUGAAAGACGGCGCAAGCUGCCGCUACAGAAUGGGCCCGCGGGGCAUUAGCUAGUUGGUGAGGUAACGGCUCACCAAGGCGACGAUGCGUAGCCGACCUGAGAGGGUGAUCGGCCACACUGGGACUGAGACACGGCCCAGACUCCUACGGGAGGCAGCAGUAGGGAAUCUUCCGCAAUGGACGAAAGUCUGACGGAGCAACGCCGCGUGAGCGAAGAAGGCCUUCGGGUCGUAAAGCUCUGUUGUUAGGGAAGAACAAGUAACGUAGUAACUGACGUUACUAUGACGGUACCUAACGAGAAAGCCACGGCUAACUACGUG